GGCCCCUUCGUCUAAGGGUUAGGACAGCAGCCUCUCACGUUGUAAAUACGGGUUCGAAUCCCGUAGGGGUCACCA
rnacentral:tRNA from 1 species